GGCGCGUUCGUCUAUCGGUUCAGGACGCGGCCCUCUCAAGGCCGAAAGACGGGUUCGAUUCCCGUACGCGCCGCCA
rnacentral:tRNA from 2 species